rnacentral:rRNA from 2 species
UUCCGGUUGAUCCCGCCGGACCUGACUGCUAUCGGAUUGAUACUAAGCCAUGCGAGUCAUUGUAGCAAUACAAGGCAUACGGCUCAGUAACGCGUAGUCAACCUAACCUAUGGACGGGAAUAACCUCGGGAAACUGAGAAUAAUGCCCGAUAGAACAUUAUGCCUGGAAUGGUUUAUGUUCCAAAUGAUUUAUCGCCGUAGGAUGGGACUGCGGCCUAUCAGUUUGUUGGUGAGGUAAUGGCCCACCAAGACUAUUACAGGUACGGGCUCUGAGAGGAGUAGCCCGGAGAUGGGUACUGAGACACGGACCCAGGCCCUAUGGGGCGCAGCAGGCGAGAAAACUUUGCAAUGUGCGAAAGCACGACAAGGUUAAUCCGAGUGGUUUCUGCUAAAGGAACCUUUUGUCAGUCCUAGAAACACUGAUGAAUAAGGGGUGGGCAAGUUCUGGUGUCAGCCGCCGCGGUAAAACCAGCACCUCAAGUGGUCAGGAUGAUUAUUGGGCCUAAAGCAUCCGUAGCCGGCUCUGUAAGUUUUCGGUUAAAUCUGUACGCUCAACGUACAGGCUGCCGGGAAUACUGCAAAGCUAGGGAGUGGGAGAGGUAGACGGUACUCGGUAGGAAGGGGUAAAAUCCUUUGAUCUAUUGAUGACCACCUGUGGCGAAGGCGGUCUACCAGAACACGUCCGACGGUGAGGGAUGAAAGCUGGGGGAGCAAACCGGAUUAGAUACCCCGGGUAGUCCCAGCUGUAAACCAUGCAAACUCAGUGAUGCAUUGGC